rnacentral:sRNA from 1 species
UCACAAGUAGUGUUAGAUUCGAUCCCGC